GCAAACUUGGUCAUUUAGAGGAAGUAAAAGUCGUAACAAGGUUUCCGUAGGUGAACCUGCGGAAGGAUCAUUAAAAAUUUUUUGGACCUUUUUUUAUGGAUCAAAAAAAAUUCCAUAAAUCCACCUUGUGUGCAACUAUUGAAAAAAAAGGUAGCCUUUUGGGAGAUGGGACGAUCUCUCAUCUCCCAAAGGGUAUAUUCAAUCUACAAUUUUUUUUUUUAUGACUAAAUUAUUAUUAAUUAAAUAAUUAAUAAAACAACUUUCAACAACGGAUCUCUUGGCUCUCGCAUCGAUGAAGAACGCAGC
rnacentral:misc_RNA from 1 species